AUUGAACGCUGGCGGCAGGCCUAACACAUGCAAGUCGAACGAGCGGCGGACGGGUGAGUAAUGUAUGGGGACUGCCCGAUGGAGGGGGAUAACUACUGGAAACGGUAGCUAAUACCGCAUACUAUCGGAUAACCCAUAUGGGAUUAGCUCGUAGGUGAGGUAAUGGCUCACCUAGGCGACGAUCCCUAGCUGGUCUGAGAGGAUGAUCAGCCACACGGGGACUGAGACACUGCCCAGACUCCUACGGAGGCAGCAGUGGGGAAUAUUGGGCAAUGGGCGCAAGCCUGAUCGAGCAAUGCCGCGUGUAUGAAGAAGGCUUUAGGGUUGUAAAGCUCUUUCGUUCGGGAGGCGUUAUCUACACAAGAAGCACCGGCUAACUCCGUGCCAGCAGCCGCGGUAAUAC
rnacentral:rRNA from 1 species